rnacentral:rRNA from 1 species
UCAGAGGGAGGUAGAAUUCCACGUGUAGCAGUGAAAUGCGUAGAGAUGUGGAGGAAUACCGAUGGCGAAGGCAGCCUCCUGGGAUAACACUGACGUUCAUGCUCGAAAGCGUGGGUAGCAAACAGGAUUAGAUACCCUGGUAGUCCACGCCCUAAACGAUGUCAAUUAGCUGUUGGGCAACUUGAUUGCUUAGUAGCGUAGCUAACGCGUGAAAUUGACCGCCUGGGGAGUACGGUCGCAAGAUUAAAACUCAAAGGAAUUGACGGGGACCCGCACAAGCGGUGGAUGAUGUGGAUUAAUUCGAUGCAACGCGAAGAACCUUACCUGGUCUUGACAUGUACGGAAUCCUCCAGAGACGGAGGAGUGCCUUCGGGAGCCGUAACACAGGUGCUGCAUGGCUGUCGUCAGCUCGUGUCGUGAGAUGUUGGGUUAAGUCCCGCAACGAGCGCAACCCUUGUCAUUAGUUGCCAUCAUUAAGUUGGGCACUCUAAUGAGACUGCCGGUGACAAGCCGGAGGAAGGUGGGGAUGACGUCAAGUCCUCAUGGCCCUUAUGACCAGGGCUUCACACGUCAUACAAUGGUCGGUACAGAGGGUAGCCAAGCCGCGAGGCGGAGCCAAUCUCACAAAACCGAUCGUAGUCCGGAUUGCACUCUGCAACUCGAGUGCAUGAAGUCGGAAUCGCUAGUAAUCGCAGGUCAGCAUACUGCGGUGAAUACGUUCCCGGGUCUUGUACACACCGCCCGUCACACCAUGGGAGUGGGGGAUACCAGAAGUAGGUAGGGUAACCGCAAGGAGCCCGCUUACCACGGUAUGCUUCAUGACUGGGGUGAAGUCGUAACAAGGUAGCCGUAGGGGAACC